rnacentral:rRNA from 1 species
UACGUAGGGUGCGAGCGUUGUUCGGAUUCACUGGGCGUAAAGGGUGCGUAGGCGGUCGGGUAAGUCUGAUGUGAAAUCUCCAAGCCUAACUUGGAAACUGCAUUGGAUACUAUCCGGCUCGAGGAAUGGAGGGGAGACUGGAAUACUUGGUGUAGCAGUGAAAUGCGUAGAUAUCAAGUGGAACACCAGUGGCGAAGGCGAGUCUCUGGACAUUUCCUGACGCUGAGGCACGAAAGCCAGGGGAGCAAACGGG